rnacentral:precursor_RNA from 15 species
CCAUUAAAAAACGGCCACAAAAAUGCCAUACAUGACACUGAUUAGGGAUGUGAUGAAUGUUAAGAUCCCGAUCAAAUUCCUAACGGUGUCAAACAUGGCGUAUGUGGUUGUAGUUGGUGAGCUUU